rnacentral:lncRNA from 1 species
ACCCGGAAGCCCGACGGGCUUGGACCGUCUGCGCCGGCCUGACCUGAUUAGACAUUUUCUUUUUUUUCAUAUAAUACAAUCCAUCCGGAAUAAAAAUGCUAUAUUGCUUGACACAAGACUCAAACCGGAGACCUCCCCUUCAUUCCUCAACUCUCUAUCGACUGUACCAAGUCAGUUCUUGUGCCAAAUUACGGCGCAUAAGCUUUUUGACCCAAUUUCUGGCUGCCAAGGGACAAAAAAGGCCA